GAGAACGAAAGCUAAGAUGGAAGCCCUCUCCUCCACUCGGUCUCCGGAGUCUGACGUCUGGGGAUUCGGUGAUGGAGGCUUUCCGUCACGGGCCGUGCGGGAAGCGAUCGGUCAGCGCGGUACUAGGGACAGUUUGCGAUGCUGCGGCAUAAAGAAUGGAUGAGAACUUCACGAUGCCGUCGAUACAGAGAACGCAAGGCGACGCGUGAAUUCAGGCUUUCGGAGGUAGAAGACCACUUGAGCACCCGCGACCGAGCCAUCGUGAAGUCCGGCUGCGUAACGUCGCACCGAGAAAGGGGUGUUUCGAUUAAGUUUUUAUUUAACCUUCCUCUGAGCCGUGCGUCUGCUAAAUCGACGAAUGUAAGUAUCUGAUCUGAAGGUAUGACGGAGACGCCGUGCUUCCUUUACAUUUACUCACCGAGCUGACGCUUUUCUCCAAAGUGACUCACAAUGUUAAUCUACCUACAAGUAUUUACACAUUCACACAGCUGGGUAAUUUUACUGGAGUAAUUGAGGGUAAGGGUACCACAGCCGGAGGUGGGGCUCAAACCUGCGAGCUUUACAUCCAAAGGCAACAGCUGUAUAGUAUGCUACCAGGUGCCCCGUGUGUCCUCCGAAAAUAUAAAGCCUACAGGUUUCCUUCAAAAUCAUCUUUCUUUGGGAUUUUUUUUUUUAAAAAAAUAUUAAGAAGCACUGGAUUUUUUUUUCUAUUUCUUUUCUUAUCUAUGGAAAGAAAUGCAUUCCCAGGGAUUCAACUUACGCAUUUAUCCCGCAUCAAUGUAUGAACAGUUGUGUCACGUGAAAGACCUUCCUCCUGUCCCCUCUGUGACUCCUUCUGAUCUUGAUUUAUGUUGCUGCCCGUUCAGUUUUUUAAUUAUUUUGUGAUUAUGUUUUUUCUUCCGACGUGGGCGUGUUGCUUGUGACAGGAUUAUUGUUUGAGGUGCGGGACACAGCUGGUGACGGCCGCGUGAUGUAUGUGUCUGCUGAGAGCCAAGGGCGACGGCUCCUAUGUAGGUGUCUCGGAACAUCAGUCCCUUGGCAACUCUUGCAGUGGACAAGUGACCCAAUGCCUGGACAUGAUGAUAGUCAACAACAACCACUGGGUUCUGUGGUCAGGAGCAAUAUAUAUUGCAGCAUUUAUUAAUUUAGCUGAUGCUUUUUCUUCAAAGCAUCUUACAAUGUUAAGCUAUGUUAAACUAUCUACCCAUUUAUUCAGCAGUGUAAUUCUUGUGGAGCAAUUUUUUGGGGUAAGUACCUUGCUCAAGGCUACUACAGCUUUAUGUGGGAUUCAAACCAGCAGCCUUUUGGUUCGAAGGCAGCAGCUAUAACCACUACACUAUCAGCUGCUACUGUUACUGCCUAUUACUAACAAAACGAAUCGGCAACAAUGAGCCUGGACAACGGCUUCAACAUCCUUAGACCAUAGUUCUGCCCGAUAGACGUUCUGCUCUUCAUACUGGACAAAGGCACACUGGUCCCCUGUCGCCACAAUAGAAAGUCCAGGAGGGGUGGGCAGCCACUGGUAUUUGGAGCCCUGGAGUUUUAUUUUUCUCCUCCUCUUUGGAGUUCUUUGCUUUCCUGCCCACUGUUGUCAGCGGGCUGAUCCAAAUAGCUCUCUACAUCUGUCACCAUAGUAAGUGGAUAUCUGUAUUGUACCAUUCCCUUCUCUGCUGUUCCACUGCCUGGAAUGUUGUUCAGCAGCAUUACACUUACCCUGGUGAGAAGAGCACUUGACAGAAAUAAAUUUAAAUCAAUUCAGUUUGGUUUAUUGUAA
rnacentral:lncRNA from 1 species